GAAAUGCGAUAAUUAAUGUGAAUUGCAGAAUUCAGUGAAUCAUCGAGUCUUUGAACGCACAUUGCGCCCCCUGGUAUUCCGGGGGGCAUGCCUGUCCGAGCGUCAUUGCUGCCCUCAAGCACGGCUUGUGUGUUGGGCUUCCGUCCCUGGUAACGGGGACGGGCCCAAAAGGCAGUGGCGGCACCAUGUCUGGUCCUCGAGCGUAUGGGGCUUUGUCACCCGCUCCCGUAGGUCCAGCUGGCAGCUAGCCUCGCAACCAAUCUUUUUAACCAGGUUGACCUCGGAUCAGGUAGGGAUACCCGCUGAACUUAA
rnacentral:misc_RNA from 1 species